CAAGUUAAAUGUGUUGAUGAAGUCUUCACCUGUGGUACUGUCUGGCCUUUGGUCACCAUCUCAUUCCCGACCUUCACUCUGGGGUAACACAGAGCUUUCAGCAUGUCAGCGGAGUUGAUGCCCAUGAGGUUCGGCCUGCUCCUCUCUCUGCUUCUGUUUGAACUUCAUGGCCCCAUGAUGCAUCACAGCACCUGUCAGCUUGUAGAUGCUGAUCUUCUCAUCAGCAGUGAAGCCCAGAAUGUCUAUAGCAGUCUGUUUUUACACAGACCAAAUAAAUCAAUGGUUUAUUGGAGUAUUUCAUACUGUCAUGCAGUAUUCAGUUCAAACUGGUGAUUUUCUGAUGUUUGUUUGCUCAGAAAUGUUGCAUAAAAUCUAAAAAUACUACUACUACUAAUAAUGAUAUUGCAGUUGUCCACAUACAUCUGUGGCAAUGAACUCCUCCACAUCAUCGAUGCUCUUGACAGUGAUUUCACCCUGGCUGAUCAUUGGAUAGUCGUAAGGGUUGGUGGAGAUGAGCAGGGCCUCUGUAAAGAGUUGAAGUGCAGUAUAUUGCCAGUGCUCUCAAACAUAGAAAUAAGUGAAAACACAAUCCUGUAGAUUUCUCACCGAGCAGCUCUGGCUUGUGUCCAGUCAUGAGCUGGUAGAAGAUGUGAUAGCUCCUCUCAGCAGACAGCUGGAAUGUUACCCUUGACUUUUCCAGCAGAUCUUUCCACGAAAAAAAAAGACAUUGUGUUUAAUUGAUUAACCCACAUCUUAGCCUUCAAAUAAAAUGUUUUUCUUAAAACAGUGUUGACUCACAAGUUUCAAUAUCUGCUUUGGCCAGUUUACCAGUGGUCCCAAAGUGAAUCCUGAUGAAUUUACCCUAGAUUGAAAUCAUUGAUAAAAGCUCAACUGUUUGCCUGCUUUGAAAUUGAAAAUGUAUGAUGUUAUUAAUGAUGAUUCAUAGGUGCAACUUACAAAACGAGAGGAGUUGUCGUUCCUUAUAGUCUUGGCGUUACCAUAAGCCUCCAGCAGAGGGUUGGCUGCAAUGAUCUGGUCCUCCAGAGAUCCCUAGAUGUAAUUGUAGCACAGUGGAGAGUCAGGAGGUGAAUCACAAACACUGUCAUCAAUAACAUCGUCUAGAAAAGGGAUUCACUAACCUGCAUUUUUCCAGAGGCAGACUCUGUCUUCUUUGGACCAGCCAUCGCAACAGUUGCAAAGUACUGAAUGACACGUUUUGUGUUCACAGUCUUUCCUGCACCGGAUUCUCCACUGGAGAUAUAUACCAGAUCAUCAUUUAAUCAUGAAUCUUUUACUGAUUUACAAUUAUAACUGAAAAACUUCAGGUUGUGUCAGCAGAAGAAUAUUUACUCACGUAAUCAGGAUAGACUGAUUCUCACGAUCUGAAAUUAAACCGUGAAAUGUUAACAGGAUUAACUUUUUCCUUUUAGCAUUGGUAUUGUUUUAAUAGGUGUCACCAUUUUUUUAAAUAUUCAUAUAAGUGCAUAUAGAAGAAGGUAACUUUUAAUACAAUAAUGUAAAAUAAUGGUUAUGAAGCACUCACUGACUGAACAUUAAUUUGUACUUUAUCACUCAGUUUCCU
ensembl:lncRNA